rnacentral:snRNA from 1 species
GUGCUCGCUUCGGCAGCGCAUAUACUAAAAUUGGAACGAUACAGAGAAGAUCAGCAUGGCCCCUGCGCAAGGAUGACACGCAAAAAAAAAAGAUUAUUU